rnacentral:rRNA from 1 species
UUAGGAAUAUUGGACAAUGGGCGCAAGCCUGAUCCGGCCAUGCCGCGUGAGUGAUGAAGGCCUUCGGGUUGUAAAGCUCUUUAGUCCACGAAUAUAAUGACUGUAGUGGAAGAAUAAGCCCCGGCUAACUUCGUGCCAGCAGCCGCGGUAAUACGAAGGGGGCGAGCGUUAUUCGGAAUCACUGGGCGUAAAGCGUGCGUAGGCUGUUCUGUAAGUCAGAAGUGAAAGCCCAGGGCUUAACCCUGGAAUUGCUUUUGAAACUACAAGACUCGAAUUCGGGAGAGGAUAGCGGAAUUGUCAGUGUAGCAGUGAAAUGCGUAGAUAUUGACAGGAACACCAGUGGCGCAAGCGGCUAUCUGGACCGAUAUUGACGCUGAGGCACGAAAGCGUGGGGAGCAAACA